GCCUCCUUCUCAUCCUUCAUGCUGACUAGACAAAAACAGGACCAGGAGAGAGCCCUGGAUAGUAUACACUCCGUAUGUUGGGCAUAACUGCAGAGCAGAUGCGGCCUAUGAGUUAAGUAAGAGUAGUACAGCAUGUACAGCUUGUUCUCAGAAACAAACAGCUCUUCUCAGAAGGUCACAUUUCCAUCCUGAGGAAGGCAAUUGGCAUUGAAUGAAGCAUACCCAGUCAAAACUGGCACACAGAACAGUGAGCUCACCAUAGCCACAUUAUCCUUAAGGACACAAUUUGUCUAUCUCUUUCAGUUUUGAAAUGACUCAAUUUUGAUGACAAAAAGAUGUGUAUGAACCAUACCAGCUAUAUACAAAUAUGCUCUCUGGUGAGAGGACUGCAAACAUCUGUGGAGAUCAUUCUUUUUUUUUUUUCCUGGAAAAGAAAAGGCUUGGGGUAGACAAGAUACCUGUCAAGUAUUUGAAGGGAGGGUUUAUGGAAGAUAUAUUAGUUUAUUUGUUUUAACUUUCUCCUAUUGGACAGAGUUAGGUACUAUGGGUGUAAGUUUCAGAGAGGCAGAUUUAUUUAUUUGCUUGUUUGUUUGCUUAUUGAGUUCAUCUGGGUUAUCAAGAAAAAAAAAAUUACUGCUGAGACCCAGUGGUUAAGUUUUAAUAGUCCAUAAAAUAGCAUACCACAAAUACAUUUUUUAUAAUCCACAGUUUUACCCACCACUAGUUUCAAUACUAGUCUUUACAAAUUUACUAACAGGAAUUUAGGAAGGGUCAAAGCAAAUAAUUUAAAUUAGCAUAACAAAUAGAAUCAAGUUGUACUUAUGUUAAAUAUGUCAAACAUAUUACAACCCAGAAAUGGAAAGAAAAUACACAAAAGUAUAAAAUUUGUAAUUAAUGGUGUUCUCUAACCAAAGAAAAUAGUGCUGGACAAGCUCUUUGAAGGUUAACGUGGCUAAGAACCUUUCAGGGUCGAGUCAAUGAAAUAGCACAUAUAAAGUGUUUUAAUUACAAAACCAUUCAAAAAUGAAACAAACAUAUAAAAUACCUAAUGUAUAUACGGUACAAUUUUUAAAAAAAUGACACAUUCACUAUCUUCAAGGAAAUUAUAUUCAAAGUUAUGGCAUAUGCAUAUAUCACUAUAAUAUGAGUCAGAAUAUGAGGGACAAAGGAGAUAUUCCAAAAAAAAAAUGUGAUGACAAAUU